UUGUUGUUGUUAUUUCCAUUUAUGUUGGAACAAUUAUUGUUGGUAAAAAGCUUGGGACGGAGGCUAUUAGGCCCAUUUAUCACUUGGAUAUGUUCAGGACUCAAAAUAACACCAGCGAUGGAGGCACAGAGGACAAGAGGAGUAGCUAUCCUGUAGGCCAUUACCAAAGGAAGAUUAAGCAAUUUGUCUUUUGUACUAUCUUUUUCAGAAAUGAUUUGCUUCUAUAUUUGAAGUGUUACCCUAAAUGUUUUUUAUUUUUUUGUAAUAAGUUAUUUCCACUAAUGGUGGAGGAGCAGUUACCCUUGUACCCCUGUAGGCCAUCGCCAAAGGAAGAUUAAGCAAUUUGUCUUUUGUACUAUCUUAGAAAUAAUUGGCUUCUAUAUUUAAAGUGUUACCCUCAAAUGUUUUUUUGUACUAAGUUAUUUCCACUAAUGGUGCUAUAUCCAUAUUUAAAGAUCAAAUCCCGACAUGUUUCAUUGCCAACAUGGUUUUAUAUAAUAGAAUUAUGAAUGAACUAAUAAAACAUAUUUUUUAUAUAUUGUUUAGAUAGGCCUCCCAGCCACCUCUCCGUAAUAUACUAAUAUCCCUUGAACAUGGGAAGCACAAACUAACCGCAACUGCUAAUCUUUCCCAUUCUUACACAAAACAGAACCCAGGAAAAGGUGUUUUUAGAAGUUGCAUUUUCUAUGUUCCCAAACAAUAGAAAAUCCCACAUAUAGCAUUUCGCUAUCUACUAUUCUUCCCCGCAUUUUCUCAUAACAAAAAUAUGUUAACCUCUCAUCCCAAGAUCCAACCAAAAUUGAAAAAUGCUUGCAACAAUCCUAGUAAAAGAGACGCUUUCUUACAACAAAUUGAAGUGCUGAAUGUACUCCAAUUAAAUGAAACAAAUAAAAACCAACCUCCUCAAAACUCCAAGAGAUACUGAUCGACAGCUUGAGGAAAUCUUGUGUAAUACCCAUUUAAUUUCUACUGAUCUAGCGUAUAUAAAUCCAUUAAAAAAAACAGAUGAUCAGUAAAUAAACGAAGCUCACUGAGCAGAAAGAUUUUAAGAAAUCAGCUCAGCUCAUCAUUAACUCAAAAACUUCCCAUUAGAUAUUUGGAGUCUCUAUUUAUCACUUGCAUCUUUCUCCUCUCAUACAAGCAAUUAAUUCAAAUGUUGUUAUUAUUAACAUACAAAAAUUAAACUUCAUACUCAACAACCACUCUUCUCUCCCCCGAAUAGAAACUGUCUGUCUCAAAGAUUUAAACUUUAUACUAAAUAAAAUGAAGGUAAGACAGAUUGCACAUGAACACUAACCCCUGUAUGCUCAGAAGAUUCCAUUGCAGCAGCAACACAAGAAAUGUGUCUCCAAAUUAAUAACCAAGCUGCAGAUAUUUGGAGCCACUAAAAAUCGCAUCAUCAGCCUAAAAACUCCUGAAAAACCAUUGCAAUAUUCCAAAGAAAUUUGUUUUCUCUUUCUUUUCUAAACUUUAACGACAACCAAAUAAAGAUCCCCAAUUUCUUCAGCAAUCAAAACCAAAAAACUCAACAUACUGUUGCCCAAUUUCGAAAACCCUACAAAUAAUGAGAUUGACUGACCAGAGAUCAUGAGAGAUCGCCGCCGGCGAGAUCUGAAGAGAAAGAUCGAGAUCGGCACUAGGACAGGGCGUUGACCACGCUCUUGAGUCUCUUCUAGCUCAGCUUCUCUUCGGUUCCCUCAUCUUCGAAAUGAGGCCCACAGGGCUGCCUUUAUUAUUAUCAGUAUUAUUUUCUUUGCCACUAUGUGGGGAUAUUUUUCUCAACAGCUUUCAAGCCAC
rnacentral:lncRNA from 1 species